CAUCAACAAAAGCCCCAAAUCGAAAUCGUUUUGAGCCAUUUUUCCUUUCCAGAAGCAAUGUGGUUUAGGUCUUCUCCCUCCUUUCCUCAAGAAAUUGUGACCCACACAAAGCUUUUAUGCCACCAUGUUUGAUCUUCUGGAAAAGGUGUUUGCACUUAGAGGAAUAUAGCAAGAAAAGGUUUGUGAGCUUCUUCCUUUACUUUUUCUUGUAUAGAAGAGAUGAUGUUAGUUAUUCUACAACUAAUUUGGAUCACUACUUUUUGGUAAUUUAAUGGCCCGAGCAUUUCCCUACGUCCCCUGCGACCUGGCUAAGCUAAGCACGCUUAACUUUGGAGUUCUAAUGAUUGAGCCACCGAAAAAGAAGGUGGAACAUUAAGAGAAAAUGUGAAGCAAAUUCGAUAGCAAUAAGUCAAGGAGAAGGAGGACGGCAGUUCAAUGGAAUCCCGACGUAUAUGGUGGAGAUAACAAACCAAUGUAGGGAAAAUUGCAUCAUCUACA